CAUGACACUCAAGCAUACCAUGG
rnacentral:miRNA from 1 species